rnacentral:rRNA from 1 species
UACGUAGGGCGCGAGCGUUGUCCGGAAUUGCUGGGCGUAAAGAGCUCGUAGGCGGCUUGUUGCGUCUGCCGUGAAAGCCCGUGGCUUAACUACGGGUCUGCGGUGGAUACGGGCAGGCUAGAGGCUGGUAGGGGCAAGCGGAAUUCCUGGUGUAGCGGUGAAAUGCGCAGAUAUCAGGAGGAACACCGGUGGCGAAGGCGGCUUGCUGGGCCAGUUCUGACGCUGAGGAGCGAAAGCGUGGGGAGCGAACAGG